CUUUCUGCCGCUGCAAUUGAUGAUUGGCCCCUGCAUUUAAAGAAGCGAAACUCGGGGAGAGAAAUAAGGAAGCAGAAGCUGGCCUGAGCAACAUCAGAGAGGCAGAGAGCAUCAGACAGAGAAGAGAUUGACAGGACAGAGCUAGAGGUUGAUAAAGGGAACGCUGUUGAAGCUUUCUGAAACGGAGAAAAGUAGAAGAAGAGUGGUCCCAGAAGAAUGCUUUUAGGUGCUCUGGUCGAGGUGGAGGAGAAGCUGCAGCGACGGAAGAUCAUGCUUGGAGGAUUGGCGGAGCAGAAGAAGGCUUGGUAGGGAAGCUUUCCAUGUCUACAAAAGGAGAAGAUAAGAAGGGAUAAGGAUAAGGCAAGAAAUGGUGAAGGGAAGGAAAGAGGGUUUUAGAAGACUUGGGAAUUUAGGGUUCCCGAUUAGCAUUCAAAGAGAAGAAGAGGGGAUGAGGAGAGUUCAUCCCGUGUUCCAGAAUGAAGGCGAUUGAAGGAACUUUGGAGGCAAUUCUGACGGGGAACACUAGAGCCCGGAAGGGUCUCUUUUUCUUCUUUCCCUUCUCAGCGGGUGCAGAGAAUUGAGAGCGAGGAUCUUUGAAAACCAAGGAUAGAAGAGCCCGGGAGAGAAAUCUGGGACCCGGAUUCCUCCUUUGGGAGUUCGGCAACGGAAGACCGGUGUUUUUGAGAAGUGAGGCCCGGAGAUUGGAGAAUUCUUGUAAAUCAAAACCAGAGCUUUGUGGGGGGAAUCAAAGACCAUGUUCUACGUCAAACUUGAUGACAGUGUAAAUAUUGGAUCAACGAACUUCUGUUACCUGCUCGCGCAAGUGCUUCUGUCAACUGUGGUUCCUGUAAGAUAAUUGCAUUCUAGAAUUUGGGUGAUGACAUAUGUUUUGGCCUGCAUUCUCCUGUAAUUUUCCUGUUGCUGUACGAAUGGUUGUAAUACUCUGUACCAGUUGAAUGGAAAUAUCAAAAUGACGAACAGAAGACUCAAAUGAAUGAAUCCUUGUAAUGCACGAGAAUGGUUUGAAUGUGAAUACUGGUUGAGUGUGAAGAACUUCUGGGGAACUCAUUUCUGAAAGUUUACAUGCCGCCUGGCUAUGGGAUUCCAUGUAUUUUUGAGCAUGAACUGGAUGUGGAAUUUGUAAAUGGCUCUCAUCAUUGUCUGCUUGCUGCUAAAUAUUCUUUACUUCAGUUGAAAUCUGUCACAUGCCCUCUGUAACCUUGAAGACUGGAAUGGUCACUUAAAAUAGAACUUGAGCAAAAGCCAAA